CGUGGGACGAGGCCGGGCGGAGACGCGCCCGUCACUCCCUUCAGAAUGCACAAUAGUAUACUAUAAAGAAGAAUCAAAAUAUGUGGACCAGGCUAUAAAUUCUUCAAGAGUCUUUAAAAUGGAAAAUCAAGUACAGACAAAAUAGCUGGAGAAGGUGUCAAAGAGAAGGACUCAUGCAGUCUGUG